rnacentral:sRNA from 1 species
GCUAACCUCUGCGCUACUGUGGCCUCCAUGAAAUAAAAUUACCAAGAAUGAAAUUAAGGGAGGAAAUUUAAUAUGCUGCAGUGGUAUAGCAGAAAUUAGUUCUAAACGCUUCCGAAUCGAAUAGGCCGAACAUACAGCGUGAAACGUCCUGAAUUUGGGGAACUUUUAAAAUUGAAAUGCGAUCUACAAUUUAUGCAGCGAUGGAAUAUUUUAACACAAAUGAUUUCGCAAAGGAUUUGUACUACAAAUUACAGACGGACACCUUUGAUGAUAUUCUUUAAAAUAUUGUAUAAAUAGCUUAACGGAACUUCUGGGAAAAUAUGGUGCUUACUUCUAUGCGAUUUAUUUGGGAUUUUUUCCAAAGCCAUUGAAAACUUAA